GGGAUAUGAAAUCACGUGAACA
rnacentral:miRNA from 1 species